UACCAGGGAAGCCGAAAGAUAUUUAAAAUUACUAAAGGCAUAUUGGGUGUAGAGGAAGAACCAAAGGAGAUUAUUUAGGAACACCUAGCAGCCAUGGCAACAUAGAAGGGGCACGUACUCUGCUGAAAAAAUAUUCCACUUAACAGAUUAUUUGCUCAUAAAAUCAGGAAUUCAGACUUCAGAGAUGAAAUGAUUUCACUUGGAAGAAAAAAGAAAACAAUUGUAAGAAAUCAGAAUUACUUUUAAAUAUGCUAAAUUUAAGUUGAAGUGCAGCAAAUCCUUUCACGUAGGGU
rnacentral:lncRNA from 1 species